CUUUUACAAUGAAGAGUUUGAUCCUGGCUCAGGAUGAACGCUAGCUACAGGCUUAACACAUGCAAGUCGAGGGGCAGCAUUUCAGUUUGCUUGCAAACUGGAGAUGGCGACCGGCGCACGGGUGAGUAACACGUAUCCAACCUGCCGAUAACUCGGGGAUAGCCUUUCGAAAGAAAGAUUAAUACCCGAUGGCAUAAUUAGACCGCAUGGUCUUAUUAUUAAAGAAUUUCGGUUAUCGAUGGGGAUGCGUUCCAUUAGGCAGUUGGUGAGGUAACGGCUCACCAAACCUUCGAUGGAUAGGGGUUCUGAGAGGAAGGUCCCCCACAUUGGAACUGAGACACGGUCCAAACUCCUACGGGAGGCAGCAGUGAGGAAUAUUGGUCAAUGGGCGCAGGCCUGAACCAGCCAAGUAGCGUGAAGGAUGACUGCCCUAUGGGUUGUAAACUUCUUUUAUAUGGGAAUAAAGUUUUCCACGUGUGGAAUUUUGUAUGUACCAUAUGAAUAAGGAUCGGCUAACUCCGUGCCAGCAGCCGCGGUAAUACGGAGGAUCCGAGCGUUAUCCGGAUUUAUUGGGUUUAAAGGGAGCGUAGGUGGACAGUUAAGUCAGUUGUGAAAGUUUGCGGCUCAACCGUAAAAUUGCAGUUGAUACUGGCUGUCUUGAGUACAGUAGAGGUGGGCGGAAUUCGUGGUGUAGCGGUGAAAUGCUUAGAUAUCACGAAGAACUCCGAUUGCGAAGGCAGCUCACUGGACUGCAACUGACACUGAUGCUCGAAAGUGUGGGUAUCAAACAGGAUUAGAUACCCUGGUAGUCCACACAGUAAACGAUGAAUACUCGCUGUUUGCGAUAUACAGUAAGCGGCCAAGCGAAAGCAUUAAGUAUUCCACCUGGGGAGUACGCCGGCAACGGUGAAACUCAAAGGAAUUGACGGGGGCCCGCACAAGCGGAGGAACAUGUGGUUUAAUUCGAUGAUACGCGAGGAACCUUACCCGGGCUUAAAUUGCANUGUGAAGGUGCUGCAUGGUUGUCGUCAGCUCGUGCCGUGAGGUGUCGGCUUAAGUGCCAUAACGAGCGCAACCCUUAUCUUUAGUUACUAACAGGUCAUGCUGAGGACUCUAGAGAGACUGCCGUCGUAAGAUGUGAGGAAGGUGGGGAUGACGUCAAAUCAGCACGGCCCUUACGUCCGGGGCUACACACGUGUUACAAUGGGGGGUACAGAAGGCAGCUACCUGGUGACAGGAUGCUAAUCCCAAAAGCCUCUCUCAGUUCGGAUCGAAGUCUGCAACCCGACUUCGUGAAGCUGGAUUCGCUAGUAAUCGCGCAUCAGCCAUGGCGCGGUGAAUACGUUCCCGGGCCUUGUACACACCGCCCGUCAAGCCAUGAAAGCCGGGGGUACCUGAAGUACGUAACCGCAAGGAGCGUCCUAGGGUAAAACUGGUAAUUGGGGCUAAGUCGUAACAAGGUAGCCGUACCGGAAGGUGCGGCUGGAACACCUCCUUUCU
rnacentral:rRNA from 1 species